AACGAGAUUCACAAAAACUUUUUUCUACUAACAUACUAUAAAUGAAGUUAGCAUAAAAUGAUAAUAAGUUGAAGCGUAAAGUGAAGAUUUGUGGAAACUUUUAUUAUGCGGAUAUUGUUGUGGAUGUCCAAGAACAAAAAAAAGUUUUUGAUGCAGAGCAUAACAGUCCUUUAGGGGGCCAUGGUGGCACUAACAAAACAAUUAUAAAAAUGCUGUAAAAAUAUUAUUGGCCUAAUAUUACCGGAGAUAUAAAAAAAUGGAUAAAACAAUGCCUUCGAUGUCAAACUUCGGGUCAACUGCUUUCAGUAUCCGAACCUUUGCAUUCCAUAAAGACAACAAGAGUAUGGGAAAUUAUUGGUAUAGACUUUGCUGGCCCAUUUAUUGAAACAUCAAAGGGUAAUAAAUACUUCAUGAGUUGUACUGAUUUAUUUUCUAAAUGGCCUAUAGCAUACGCUUUACCGAAUAAGGAAGCAAUAACAGUAGCAAGAGCAAUAAUAAAACUCGUGAUAACCUUUGGAUUUCCAUCUGUUAUUCUUACUGACAAUGGAACUGAGUUUUGCAAUGAGGUAUUUGUUAUAUACAUUUAUGAAAAAAAAAAUUAUAAAACAGAUAUUUAGCGUCAUGAGGUUUCCAGAUAAAAAUUGGUCUUCUGCAAGGUUUUUGUUUUCUGUAAACAAUGAUGAUACAAAACGGUCUAAAUUAAUGUAGACGUGUAGAAAAAAAUAAUUUAAUGGAAUUCUACUAGUUCAG